rnacentral:lncRNA from 1 species
AGAGGUGUCAUAGUGAUCUUGCUUUUAUCUGUAUUUAUACAAGGUUAUGAAGAGGCCUUGCUUUAUAUAAUCCCGUCAUGAUGUCAGAGUAACUUGCCUAAGGUUGGUAUUCUAUGAGAUUGUUUAUGUCCAGUAGGAGACUAACAUGGCCUUGCUGGGAAUGUCAGAUCAUUUCUGAACAUGAGUUCUUUUUCAGAGCUUUCAGCUAUCAUUUAAGAAGUCUGGCUACCCUUGGGAUACCACCUGGAGUGACCACAUGCUUACAUAUAUAGAGAGAUGGCUCAGAGUUCAGUCUCUAUUGAAUGCUGGGUAACAGACAAUUGAAUAAAGAAGAUGCUGAGCUGAUCUCAGCCCCAGUCAUUGUCUGGCCACAACUGUGUGAGGCACCUGCAUGCAGUGAGAACUACUUAGCUGAGCCCAGCUGGCCUCUAAUCUGUGCAAAUCCAAGUGGAGGAGAAAGAAGACGAUACUGAGGAAAGUUCAAGCGAAGAGGAAGAGGAGGAACACAAACUACCCCGAAGAGAGAGCAUGAGGCCAAAGAGGAAACGGACCAGAGAUGUUAUCAAUGAAGAUGAUCCAGAGCCUGAACCAGAAGAUGAAGAAACAAGGAAGGCCAGAGAGAAAGAGAGAAGGAGGAGAUUAAAGAGAGGAGCGUGAGUUAGUUUUGAUCUAUAAUUGACAUUAUUUUUCAUUCAAAAGUGCCUGAUGCUGAAAGAUCACCCUAGCCUUAAAAUUGGUAAUUAAAACU